rnacentral:tRNA from 1 species
GGAGGAGCAAGCCGACUGGUGACGGCACCCCGUUCGAAGCGGGACGAGCGCAAGCCUUCGGGGUUCGACUCCCCGUUCCUCCGCC